CGCUUCUUUUUCCACCGGAGCUUGCUCCACCGGAAAAAGAGGAGUGGCGAACGGGUGAGUAACACGUGGGUAACCUGCCCAUCAGAAGGGGAUAACACUUGGAAACAGGUGCUAAUACCGUAUAACAAUCGAAACCGCAUGGUUUUGAUUUGAAAGGCGCUUUCGGGUGUCGCUGAUGGAUGGACCCGCGGUGCAUUAGCUAGUUGGUGAGGUAACGGCUCACCAAGGCGACGAUGCAUAGCCGACCUGAGAGGGUGAUCGGCCACAUUGGGACUGAGACACGGCCCAAACUCCUACGGGAGGCAGCAGUAGGGAAUCUUCGGCAAUGGACGAAAGUCUGACCGAGCAACGCCGCGUGAGUGAAGAAGGUUUUCGGAUCGUAAAACUCUGUUGUUAGAGAAGAACAAGGAUGAGAGUAACUGUUCAUCCCUUGACGGUAUCUAACCAGAAAGCCACGGCUAACUACGUGCCAGCAGCCGCGGUAAUACGUAGGUGGCAAGCGUUGUCCGGAUUUAUUGGGCGUAAAGCGAGCGCAGGCGGUUUCUUAAGUCUGAUGUGAAAGCCCCCGGCUCAACCGGGGAGGGUCAUUGGAAACUGGGAGACUUGAGUGCAGAAGAGGAGAGUGGAAUUCCAUGUGUAGCGGUGAAAUGCGUAGAUAUAUGGAGGAACACCAGUGGCGAAGGCGGCUCUCUGGUCUGUAACUGACGCUGAGGCUCGAAAGCGUGGGGAGCAAACAGGAUUAGAUACCCUGGUAGUCCCACGCCCGUAAACGAUGAGUGCUAAGUGUUGGAGGGUUUCCGCCCUUCAGUGCUGCAGCUAACGCAUUAAGCACUCCGCCUGGGGAGUACGACCGCAAGGUUGAAACUCAAAGGAAUUGACGGGGGCCCGCACAAGCGGUGGA
rnacentral:rRNA from 1 species